CUUUGAACGCACCUUGCGCUCCCUGGUAUUUCCGGGGAGCAUGCCUGUUUGAGUGUCAUGGUAUUCUCAACCUUCAUAACUUUUGUUAUCGAAGGCUUGGACUUGGAGGUUGUGCUGGCUUCUAGUUAAGUCGGCUCCUCUUAAAUGUAUUAGCGUGAGUGUAACGGAUCGCUUCGGUGUGAUAAUUAUCUGCGCCGUGGUCGUGAAGUAACAUAAGCUUGCGCUUCUAACCGUCCUUCAGUUGGACAAUUACUUUGACAUCUGACCUCAAAUCAGGUAGGACUACCCGCUGAACUUAAGCAUAUCAAUAAGCGGAGGA
rnacentral:rRNA from 1 species